CUGCCCCCUCCGGGCGUGCACGCCACCGCCCACUCCCUGGGUUCCCACUCCCCCGCGGCUCAUGUGACACCACCUUAAGCUGAACCGGAGUGGAGCUCGGGGACCAAACGGCACUGAACUCCGGAGCCGCGGGAGUCGCCGAGGAUUGGCCCGGUUCCCUGCGGGCGGGAAGGCCUGGAACUUGGGAGCACCGGUGUUCCUGCGGUGCCACGUCGAGCUCCGAACCCCGGUCCUGCAAGGGGAAACCCGAGUAUUUCGUAUUUCGCUUUCUCUUCUCGGGAAACCUAGGUCGGGACAACGCACCAGAGACUGGGAACCGAAGAUGUGACCCUAAUGAGACAGAAGCGGAGAGGUCUGACAUUCUACAGAACCCAGGGGAGCACUGAACCCCAUGGGGAAGAGAGCUCCAGGUGGAAAUUGAGCAUUUUCACUGCUUGCUGGUUGGAACCACCAUGACAAAAGCCACCAUGAACGUGUUUGGGUGUGUGUUUGAUGAACACAUGCAUUCAUUUCUCUUGAAUGUAUACCUCAGUGUAACUGCCAGGUCACAGGGUUGGCAUAUGCUUUGCUGUAGUAAACAUUGUCAAACAGUUUUUCAAA